CCUACGGGAGGCUGCAGUGGGGAAUUUUGGACAAUGGGGGCAACCCUGAUCCAGCCAUGCCGCGUGCGGGAAGAAGGCCUUCGGGUUGUAAACCGCUUUUAGCCGGGAAGAAAAGGCACUCCCUAAUACGGGGUGUUCUUGACGGUACCGGCGGAAUAAGCACCGGCUAACUACGUGCCAGCAGCCGCGGUAAUACGUAGGGUGCGAGCGUUAAUCGGAAUUACUGGGCGUAAAGCGUGCGCAGGCGGUUCGUUAAGUUCGAUGUGAAAGCCCCG
rnacentral:rRNA from 1 species